rnacentral:rRNA from 1 species
GUGGGGAAUUUUGGACAAUGGGCGAAAGCCUGAUCCAGCAAUGCCGCGUGCAGGAUGAAGGCCCUCGGGUUGUAAACUGCUUUUGUACGAAACGAAAAGCCUGGGGCUAAUAUCCCCGGGUCAUGACGGUACCGUAAGAAUAAGCACCGGCUAACUACGUGCCAGCAGCCGCGGUAAUACGUAGGGUGCAAGCGUUAAUCGGAAUUACUGGGCGUAAAGCGUGCGCAGGCGGUUUUGUAAGACAGUGGUGAAAUCCCCGGGCUCAACCUGGGAACUGCCAUUGUGACUGCAAGGCUAGAGUGCGGCAGAGGGGGAUGGAAUUCCGCGUGUAGCAGUGAAAUGCGUAGAUAUGCGGAGGAACACCGAUGGCGAAGGCAAUCCCCUGGGCCUGCACUGACGCUCAUGCACGAAAGCGUGGGGAGCAAACAGGAUUAGAUACCCGAGUAGUCC